rnacentral:rRNA from 1 species
AUUGAACGCUGGCGGCAGGCCUAACACAUGCAAGUCGAGCGGAUGAGUGGAGCUUGCUCCAUGAUUCAGCGGCGGACGGGUGAGUAAUGCCUAGGAAUCUGCCUGGUAGUGGGGGACAACGUUUCGAAAGGAACGCUAAUACCGCAUACGUCCUACGGGAGAAAGUGGGGGAUCUUCGGACCUCACGCUAUCAGAUGAGCCUAGGUCGGAUUAGCUAGUUGGUGAGGUAAAGGCUCACCAAGGCGACGAUCCGUAACUGGUCUGAGAGGAUGAUCAGUCACACUGGAACUGAGAAACGGUCCAGACUCCGACGGGAGGCAGCAGUGGGGAAUAUUGGACAAUGGGCGAAAGCCUGAUCCAGCCGUGCCGCGUGUGUGAAGAAGGUCUUCGGAUUGUAAAGCACUUUAAGUUGGGAGGAAGGGCAGUAAGCUAAUACCUUGCUGUUUUGACGUUACCGACAGAAUAAGCACCGGCUAACUCUGUGCCAGCCGCCGCGGUAAAAC